rnacentral:rRNA from 1 species
UUCCGGUUGAUCCUGCCGAAGGCUACUGCUAUUGGAGUUCGAUUAAGCCAUGCGAGUCUAAGGGACUUCGGUCCCUGGCAUAAUGCUCAGUAACAAGUGGAUAAUCUGCCCUUAGGUGAGGAAUAAACCCGGGAAACUGGGGCUAAUACCUCAUAGACACAAGAAGCUGGAAUGCUCCUGUGUUCAAAGCUCCGGCGCCUAAGGAUGAGUCUGCUUCCUAUCAGGUUGUAGUCAGGGUCAAGACCUGACUAGCCAGCGACGGGUACGGGGUGUGAGAGCACUUGCCCGGAGAUGGUUUCUGAGACACGAAACCAGGCCCUACGGGGCGCAGCAGGCGCGAAAACUUCGCAAUGCGGGAAACCGUGACGAGGGAACUCCAAGUGUCUAUGCAAUGCAUAGACUGUUUUUCAGCCUAAACAGCUGUUAGAGUAAGAGGUGGGCAAGACCGGUGCCAGCCGCCGCGGUAACACCGGCACCUCGAGUGGUAGCCACUAUUAUUGGGCCUAAAGCGUUCGUAGCCGGUUUGGUAAAUUCUUGGGUAAAUCGUACAGCUUAACUGUGCGGAUUCCGGGGACACUACCAGACUUGAGACCGGGAGAGAUCAGAGGUACUUGUAGGGGAGCGGUGAAAUGUUGUAAUCCUACAGGGACCACCAGUGGCGAAGGCGUCUGAUCAUAACGGCUUUGACGGUGAGGAACGAAACCCUGGGGCGCAAACGGGAUUAGAUACCCCGGUAGUCCAGGGCGUAA